rnacentral:pre_miRNA from 1 species
CUCGAAGGAGAGGUUGUCCGUGAUGUGUUCUCUUUAUUGAUGAUGAAACAUACACGGGAAACCUCUUUUUUAGUAU